rnacentral:rRNA from 1 species
GGUUUGAUUUCGGCUCAGAUUGAACGCUGGCGGGAUGCUUUACACAUGCAAGUCGAACGUGCAGCACGGACUUCGGUCUGGUGGCGAGUGGCGAACGGGGUGAGUAAUGUAUCGGAACGUGCUUAGUAGUGGGGAUAACUACGCGAAAGCGUAGCUAAUACUGCAUACGUUCUUCGGGGAAAGUGGGGACCUUGGCCUUUACCAUAGAGCGGUCAGAUAUCGGAUUAGCUAGUUGGUGGGGUAACGGCUCACCAAGGCGACGAUCCGUGGCUGGUUUGAGGACGACCAGCCACACUGGGACCGGAGAGACACGGCCCAGACUCCUACGGAGGCAGCAGUGGGAAUUUUGGACAAUGGGGGAAAUCCCUGAUCCAGCCAUCCCGCGUGUGCGAUGAAGGCCUUCGGGCUGUGUGCCACACUUUGCAGGAAGGGAAACGGCACGGGAUACACUCUUCGUGCAACUGACGGUACCUGCAGAAUAAAAGCAGCAACCGGCUAACUACGCCAGCAGCCAGGUACGUAGGGUGCAAGCGUUAACUGGAAUUACCAAGGGUAAAAAGGCAGGCGGUUCGAAAGAAAGAUGAAAUCCAGAGCGAACUUUGAAUCCAUUUUUAACUACCGAGCUAGAGGUUAGAGGGAGGACUGCGUGUAGUGCAGUGAAACGCGUAGAUAUGGAGGAACGCCGAUGGCGAAGUAGCUCUGAUAACACCGACGCUCAUGCACGAAAGCGUGGGGAGCAAACAGGAUUAGAUACCCUGGUAGUCCACGCCCUAAACGAUGUCGACCCAGCUGUUGGGCUUCCCGGGCCUCGGUAGCGCAGCUAACGCGGUGAAGCCGACCGCCUGGAGUACGGUCGCGUGAUUAAACCUCAAAGGAAUUGACGGGGACCGCACAAGCGGUGGAUGAUGUGGAUUAAUUCGAUGCAACGCGAAAACCUUACCUACCCUUGACAUGUCUGGGAACUCGAAGAGAUUUGGGGAGUGCUCGCAAGAGAACCGGAACAUAGGUGUUAAUGGUUGUCGCUGCUCGCCGGAGAAGGUUAAGUCCCGCAACGAGCGCAACCCUUGUUUACGGUUGCCACAGUGUAGCACUUUAAUGAGACUGCCGGUGACAAAAACCGGAGUGGGUUGUGGGGAUAACGUCAAGUCCCGCGGCCCUUAUGGGUAGGGCUUCACACGUCAUACAAUGGUCGGGACAGAGGGCUUCAACCCGCGAGUGGGAGCCAAUCCCAGAAACCCGGAUCGUAGUCCGGAUCGGCUCCGCAACUCGGACUGCGUGAAGUCGGAAUCGCUAGUAAUCGCGGAUCAGUAAUGUCGCGGUGAAUAUACCCGGGUCUUGUACACACUGCCCCGUCCCACCAUGGGAGUGGGUUUUACCAGUAGGUUAGCCUAACCGUAAGGAGGGCGACAUUACCACGGUAGGAUUCAUGACUGGGGUGAAGUCGUAACACAGUGGGGGUAAUGA